rnacentral:sRNA from 1 species
UGCUUUAACCAUUAAUUAAAAUAUGCUUUUCUUUAAACUCACAGAUUUUCAG